GUGUUUGCUUCAGCAGCACAUAUACUAAAAUUUGAAUGAUACAGAGAAUAAUUAGCAUGGUCCCUGCACAAGGAUGAUGUACAAAUUAUUAAAAUGUUUCAUAUCUUU